CGGACGGGUGGGUAACACGUGGAUAACCUACCUAUAAGACUGGGAUAACUUCGGGAAACCGGAGCUAAUACCGGAUAAUAUUUUGAACCGCAUGGUUCAAAAGUGAAAGACGGUCUUGCUGUCACUUAUAGAUGGAUCCGCGCUGCAUUAGCUAGUUGGUAAGGUAACGGCUUACCAAGGCAACGAUGCAUAGCCGACCUGAGAGGGUGAUCGGCCACACUGGAACUGAGACACGGUCCAGACUCCUACGGGAGGGCAGCAGCG
rnacentral:rRNA from 1 species